rnacentral:rRNA from 1 species
AGUGGCGAACGGGUGAGUAAUACAUCGGAACGUACCUUAUCGUGGGGGAUAACGCAGCGAAAGCUGUGCUAAUACCGCAUACGCCCUGAGGGGGAAAGCGGGGGAUCGAAAGACCUCGCGCGAUUAGAGCGGCCGAUGCCUGAUUAGCUUGUUGGUGGAGUAAAAGCCCACCAAGGCGACGAUCAGUAGCUGGUCUGAGAGGACGAUCAGCCACACUGGGACUGAGACACGGCCCAGACUCCUACGGGAGGCAGCAGUGGGGAAUUUUGGACAAUGGGGGAAACCCUGAUCCAGCAAUGCCGCGUGAGUGAAGAAGGCCUUCGGGUUGUAAAGCUCUUUUGUCAGGGAAGAAACACCGGCUCUAACACAGUCCGGGAAUGACGGUACCUGAAGAAUAAGCACCGGCUAACUACGUGCCAGCAGCCGCGGUAAUACGUAGGGUGCGAGCGUUAAUCGGAAUUACUGGGCGUAAAGCGUGCGCAGGCGGUUAUACAAGACAGGCGUGAAAUCCCCGGGCUUAACCUGGGAAUGGCGCCUGUGACUGUAUAGCUAGAGUGUGUCAGAGGGGGGUAGAAUUCCACGUGUAGCAGUGAAAUGCGUAGAUAUGUGGAGGAAUACCAAUGGCGAAGGCAGCCCCCUGGGAUAACACUGACGCUCAUGCACGAAAGCGUGGGGAGCAAGCAGGAUUAGAUACCCUGGU